rfam:Chimpanzee immunodeficieny virus (CIV) (SIV(cpz)) genome
UUUUUUAGGGAAAGGUUGGCCUUCCCGCAGCGGGAGGCCAGGCAACUUUGUG